rnacentral:rRNA from 1 species
ACGGGUGAGUAAUGUCUGGGAAACUGCCUGAUGGAGGGGGAUAACUACUGGAAACGGUAGCUAAUACCGCAUAACGUCGCAAGACCAAAGAGGGGGACCUUCGGGCCUCUUGCCAUCGGAUGUGCCCAGAUGGGAUUAGCUAGUAGGUGAGGUAAAGGCUCACCUAGGCGACGAUCCCUAGCUGGUCUGAGAGGAUGACCAGCCACACUGGAACUGAGACACGGUCCAGACUCCUACGGGAGGCAGCAGUGGGGAAUAUUGCACAAUGGGCGCAAGCCUGAUGCAGCCAUGCCGCGUGUGUGAAGAAGGCCUUCGGGUUGUAAAGCACUUUCAGCGGGGAGGAAGGGAGCAGGCUUAAUACGUCUGUUCAUUGACGUUACCCGCAGAAGAAGCACCGGCUAACUCCGUGCCAGCAGCCGCGGUAAUACGGAGGGUGCAAGCGUUAAUCGGAAUGACUGGGCGUAAAGCGCACGCAGGCGGUCUGUUAAGUUGGAUGUGAAAUCCCCGGGCUUAACCUGGGAACUGCAUUCAAAACUGACAGGCUAGAGUCUCGUAGAGGGGGGUAGAAUUCCAGGUGUAG